rnacentral:rRNA from 1 species
CGGAGGUGCGAAGCAGUUGUUCGGUGAAUCACUGGGCAUAAAGCGCACGUAGGCGGUCCGCUAAGUCAGUUGUGAAAUCCCUCGGCUCACCGAGGAGCUGCACCUGAUACUGGCGGGCUCGAGAACGGUAGGGGUGAGUGGAACUCCGGUGGAGCGGAUGAAAUGCGUAGAUAUCUGGAGGACACCGGUGGCGAAGGCGG